rnacentral:rRNA from 1 species
CCUACGGGAGGCAGCAGUGGGGAAUAUUGGACAAUGGGGGGAACCCUGAUCCAGCGACACCGCGUGAGUGAAGAAGUAUUUCGGUAUGUAAAGCUCUAUCAGCAGGGAAGAAAGAAAUGACGGUACCGGACUAAGAAGCCGCGGCUAACUCCGGGCCAGCAGCCGCGGUAAUACGUAGGGGGCAAGCGUUAGCCGGAUUUACUGGGUGUAAAGGGAGCGUAGACGGUCUGGCAAGUCUGAAGUGAAAGCCCCGGGCUUAACCCUGGGACUGCUUUGGAAACUGUUAGACUAGAGUGCUGGAGCGGUAAGUGUAAUUCCUCGUGUAGCGGUGAAAUGCGUAGAUCUUAGGAGGAACACCAGUGGCGCCGGCGGCUUACUGGACCGUAACUGACGUUGCGGCUCG